rnacentral:rRNA from 1 species
AAAUGACUCUCGGCAACGGAUAUCCCGGCUCUCGCAUCGAUGAAGAACGUAGCGAAAUGCGAUACUUGGUGUGAAUUGCAGAAUCCCGUGAACCAUUGAGUCUUUGAACGCAAGUUGCGCCCGAAGCCACUAGGCCGAGGGCACGUCUGCCUGGGUGUCACGC